UGAAAUCGCUUUGCCGCGCGUCGUUAAAACCGACAAACUUCAUGGUGUCGUUUCUCCAGACGCUCCGAACAAAAACACUCAAAACUACAUUUUUCCCAACGCGCCAAAAGACGUAUAACUUCAAAAAAAAUAUUAUACAAGGCUUGGACGAUAGUGCAGUGGUCAUCUCUGGAAUAUCGGGAAAAUUUCCAAAGAGUAACAAUAUCAAUGAUUUAAGGGAAAA
rnacentral:lncRNA from 1 species